UCGGGAUAGCUCAGUUGGUAGAGCAGAGGAAUUAAAAUCCUCAUGCCACCAAUUGAAAUCUGGUUCCUAGAA
rfam:Picea glauca, whole genome shotgun sequence.